rnacentral:sRNA from 1 species
CGGGUGACGGCCGCCGGCGGCCACUUCCCCGCGCACCGGCUCUGGAGAACAGCCCUCGGGAUCAUCCCUUCCUCACGGGAGGUCAACCCGUUGGAUGCCACCUGGUGUGCGCCGCCCUGCUGGCGUCAGAGCAGUGACGAUGACGCACCCG